rnacentral:rRNA from 1 species
GGAUGUUGGCUUAGAAGCAGCCACACAUUCAAAGAGUGCGUAACAGCUCACUGGUCGAGUGACCGGGCGCCGAAAAUGUAACGGGGCUAAACAUACAACCGAAGCUUGGGCUGCACAGCAAUGUGCGGGGUAGGGGAGCGUUGUGUGCGGGGUGAAGCAUGAGCGGAAGCGCGUGUGGACUGCACAGAAGUGAGAAUGCCGGAAUGAGUAGCGCGAAUUAUGUGAGAAUCAUAAUGGCCGAAAGCCUAAGGUUUCUGGAGGAAGGUUCGUCCGCUCCAGGUUAGCCGGGAGCUAAGGUGAGGCCGAAAGGCGUAGCCGAUGCACAUACGGUGGAGAUUCCGUAGCCAUCAAAAGAUUUAAGCAGAGGGACACAGUAGAAGGGUACAUGCCGGGCGUUGGUAGCCCCGGUUGCAAGGGACCGAAAUUAGAGUAGGGAAGAUGGACUUGGAUACUGGCGAGAAAAGCUCUGUGGAUAUCUGCGAUGCCCGUACCGCAAACCGACACAGGUAGGUAGGAAGAGGAUUCUAAGGCCAACGGGAGAAGGGUUGUUAAGGAACUCGGCAAGUUGACCCCGUAACUUCGGGAGAAGGGGUGCUCUGGAAACAGAGCCGCAGAGAAUAGGUCCAGGCAACUGUUUAGCAAAAACACAGCUCUCUGCUAAAUCGAAAGAUGAUGUAUAGGGGGUGACGCCUGCCCGGUGCUGGAAGGUUAAGAGGAGGAGUGAGAGCCCCGAAUCGAAGCCCCAGUAAACGGCGGCCGUAACUAUAACGGUCCUAAGGUAGCGAAAUUCCUUGUCAGGUAAGUUCUGACCCGCACGAAAGGCGUAAUGAUCUGGACACUGUCUCAACAGCCCACCCGGCGAAAUUGUAGUACCGGUGAAGAUGCCGGUUACCCGCGACAAGACGGAAAGACCCCAUGGAGCUUUACUGCAGCCUAAUAUUGGAUUUCGGUAUUUCAUGUACAGGAUAGGUGGGAGACUGGGAAACACAGGCGUCAGCUUGUGCGGAGUCGCCCUUGGGAUACCACCCUUGAAGUGCUGGAAUUCUAACCUGUGGCCAUGAAUCUGGUCAGGGGACAUUGUUAGGCGGGCAGUUUGACUGGGGCGGUCGCCUCCAAAAGAGUAACGGAGGCGCUCAAAGGUUUGCUCAGCAUGGCCGGAAACCAUGCCUUAGAGUGUAAACGCAAAAGCAAGCCUAACUGCGAGACCGACGGGUCGAGCAGAAACGAAAGUUGGAGUUAGUGAUCCGGUGGUAUGUGAGUGGAAA